UACGUAGGGUGCGAGCGUUAAUCGGAAUUACUGGGCGUAAAGCGCACGUAGGCGGCUUUGCAAGUUAGAGGUGAAAGCCCGGGGCUCAACUCCGGAAUUGCCUUUAAAACUGCAUCGCUAGAGUUGUGGAGAGGUAAGUGGAAUUCCGAGUGUAGAGGUGAAAUUCGUAGAUAUUCGGAAGAACACCAGUGGCGAAGGCGACUUACUGGACACAUACUGACGCUGAGGUGCGAAAGCGUGGGGAGCAAACAGG
rnacentral:rRNA from 1 species